rnacentral:rRNA from 1 species
AAUCCAUAUCCACCUGUGUGCAUGUCAUCUCACUGGAGGCCAGCGGCUGUACAGAACGCCCGUUUGGUCACCUUUGGGAUUUCAUAUCUACUCAGAACUUUAGAUGGAUUUUGUCUCGAAAAAUAUUAUCGAAUAACUUAAUAUCAAGACAUACAAGCUUUCAACAAACAGGAUCUCUUGGCUCUCGCAUCGAUGAAGAACGCAGCGAAAUGCGAUACGUAAUUGUGAAUUGCCGAAUUCAGUGAAUCAUCGAAUCUUUGAACGCAUAUUGCGCUCUCUGGUAUUCCGGAGAGCAUGCUUGUUUGAGGUAUCAGUAAACAACUCAACUCCCUUUUCUUUUUUUGAAAUGGGAGCUGGACUUGAGUGAUCCCAACACUUUUCUCACUGGAAAGUGGCGGGUCACUUGAAAUGCAGGUGCAGCUGGACUUUUCUCUGAGCUAUAAGCAUAUCUAUUUAGUCUAGCCUAAAAAACAGAUUAUUACCUUUGCUGCAGCUAACAUAAAGGAGAUGAGUUCUUGUGCUGACUGAUGCAGGAUUCACAGAGACGCUUCGCGGCUGACUUUGUAAACGUCGAUCUUCAAAUCAAGUAAGACUACCCGCUGAACUUAAGCAUAUCAUAAGC